rnacentral:rRNA from 1 species
UGGGGAAUAUUGGGCAAUGGGCGAAAGCCUGACCCAGCAACGCCGCGUGAAGGAAGAAGGUUUUCGGAUCGUAAACUUCUAUCCUUGGUGAAGAUAAUGACGGUAGCCAAGAAGGAAGCCCCGGCUAACUACGUGCCAGCAGCCGCGGUAAUACGUAUGGGGCAAGCGUUGUCCGGAAUGAUUGGGCGUAAAGGGCGCGUAGGCGGCCUGGUAAGUCUGGAGUGAAAGUCCUGCUUUUAAGGUGGGAAUUGCUUUGGAUACUGUCGGGCUUGAGUGCAGGAGAGGUGAGUGGAAUUCCCGGUGUAGCGGUGAAAUGCGUAGAGAUCGGGAGGAAUAUCAGUGGCGAAGGCGCCCAUCUGGACGGUAACUGACGCUGAGACGCGAAAGCGUGGGGAGCAAACA